UACGAAGGGGGCGAGCGUUGUUCGGAAUUACUGGGCGUAAAGGGCGCGUAGGCGGCGACUCAAGUUAGAUGUGAAAGUCCUGGGCUUAACCUGGGGACUGCAUUUGAUACUGGGUUGCUUGAAUUCGGGAGAGGAGAGUGGAAUUCCCGGUGUAGCGGUGAAAUGCGUAGAGAUCAUGAGGAAGACCAGUGGCGAAGGCGGGUCUCUGGACAGUUCCUGACACUGAGGCACGAAGGCCAGGGGAGCAAACGGG
rnacentral:rRNA from 1 species